rnacentral:lncRNA from 1 species
UAGCUGUUAGCCCUCCUCUGGUACAUGAUUCAUUGGUCGUCGAGCCCCAUCACCACCAUUCUUUUUUAUAAAUUAAUAAUUGAGUGCCACCUAUGCAUUGGGGCCUCUUUUAAUUAAUACAAAAUUGAGGUUACAUCUUUUCAAAUGUUCCUCAAUUAAUAUAUAAGGGAUGUGAUUGGAAACACUUUAACAAGAUUAAAAUAUAUUUAAAAAAUACGGAAGAAAAAAUUUUAGAGUAAAUAAUAGUAAACUGAAUAAAUAAAAUAUUUUCUAUACUGAAUUAUUUUACUGUCGCUUUAGCUUUAAAUAAGAGAGUAAGAAGUUAACAUUUAAACCAGAAAUAUAAAACUAUAUAACAUUUUUUAUGUGAUGGUGAAAAGAGUAACUGAAAAUAAAACAUUAUUUCUCAACCCCAACAAAAACAAUUACAUCGUUAUGUAUUAUAGAUUUAUAACGUAUAUAUACUUAAGUAUAUAUAUAUAUAUAUAUAUAUAUUGGGAAACGACAUUUGGAGAUGUGAAUGUGAAGUUCACAUGGGUAUAGUUUGUUUCAGAUUUCUGCGUAGAUUCCAUGAACUGGCAAAAUAAUCAGUUACAGGAAAUAAAAUAAAAUAAAAUAUAAUUUGUAAUGUUGGAUUUUUCCAUAUGUGUUCUAUUAAAUGAAUAAUGUUUUUUAUAUUUAAUGUUCUUACUAAAACAAUUUAUAGCAUUUCCUCUCUAAACAAACGUGACCUGCACAGUAGUAAUGACCAAGUAAAAUUACUCGUCUCCUUUUUUUUUUGAACUACCAAAUUACUCGUCUCCUUUAACUUUUAUUUUUAAGCCUUUUUGAAAACGGUUGAUAAAAAGUUUUUUUUUUAUAACAGUUUAAAUUGUGUUAAUUAAUGAUACUUUUAACAUCAUUGUAUGAUACUUUCCUAUUGUAUUACUUUUGAGUGGUGUAUUAGUAAUUUCAUUUUGGUUAGUUUCAAUUGUUUGUAAAUGGAAGUGGCACAUGACAUGGAGGUAGAGCGUGCCGUUCACCCUCCGGAACGACGGUGGUCAAGUAAAGGUGCUCACUUUCAUGCUUAGACGACACGUACGCAAUUUCCAGACUGUCUAUAGUUAUCUUUUAUUGACGCGACAUCUUCUUCGUGGGCAACACGCGCUUCCGUCUUCUGUUUUAUUUAUAUUUAGUUAUUAAUCAAUUUGUCCUCCCAAAAUAUAUAGUUACUUAUCCAAAGCCUAAAGGUGACUUUGCUUUUGAUUUCGUAGCUAUUAGCUAAUUAACUCUUAAACUUUCCUAAUAGUAUAAUCAUAAAUAUAUAAAAUUAAUGUAUAUUUUUCUUAUAACAUCAUUUUGGCCUUGUAAUAUGUCAAUGAUUAGAUUCUUAUGUCUUGAAUUCAACAUGUUGUCUUUUUAAUAAGAACUAAAAUUUUAUAAUAUUCUUUUAAAAUAAGAAACCUUAAUUUUUGUAAUUUUUUGCUUUUGAUUUACCAAAUGUCUAAAAUAAUUCAAAAUUUACACCACAGCGAAAAUACAUUGGAUAAGCUGAGAAAUAAGAAUGAAUAUCUUUUGUUUGCACAUAAUGAAUAGGAAUUUUGUACUAGAUAGCAAAAUUGUAGACGUAAAUUAGGUAACAGGUAAAGUGACUGUGCAUUUUGCAGUAAUACCUAAAAUGUCUCUAUAAACAUAACAAAAUUAAAUAGAACGACCACUGACACGUAUGAAGCAAAAGAAUGACGAGACUGUUGUACAUAUCGAAAGUAUCAAUAAUGCAAACAAUCUUGAAACUUCUGAUAAUGCAAAGAAUCGGAAAUUCACUUAUGUAGAUAUGCACCCUACUGUCAUAUAUCCGGUUAAUAAUAGUAAAACCCGGAUUAGAUAAAUGUAAUCAUGCUAUAAUUGCAGCCUAUUGACACAUAUACGCGUAUCUCUAGCUCUUGCCUUCUUUAAUAAGAUACUUCUAACAUUUAAGCUCCGUUAUUUGACAGGGAACCGACACCAUCUCCCAACAUGGAUAGUAUUUUGAUUGAUAUAUCAAGAUGAACAGGAUGUCAUGGUCCUAUGGCGUCGAGCACUGCUCAUAUCACUUUCAGCGCAUGAAACAACAUGUUGUAAAAUAUCUUCCUAUCAAUUACAUUUCUGACAAACAAUUUGUAAAAUAUCUCACAACUCUUCUCUCUUCAAUUAUUAGAGCUAUAUCCGAUUUCAAUAUCUUAUAUCAUCAUUUUAAAUGAAUGUAUCUGGUUUCGAAACGUUGAUUGCGUUUGGAAACAGUUGCAAUACAAUAUAAUUUUUUUAGCAUCAGCUCCGGUAGCAGAUAACACAUAUGUAACGAAGAAAUUGUGGCUAGAAGAGAGAAUUGACAACUCAGGGCAAAAUUAACAUAGUUCCCCAAUUAUUUAAAAAAAAUCAAUACUUCUAUAAUUACCUCCUCCAAUUUGCGUAUUUCUAGCUAAAUAGGCCUAAUGAAUAAUCCUAAUUCUGGUAUUCAUGCAAUUUAGGUGCCCCUACCAACUAUGAGUGCCUUCCUGCCACCUCAUAUCGAUUGAUGGGCAAUUCACAUAUAUGUUUGUACAAUUACAUUUUUGGUAACUCUAUUUUAUUAAGUUAUUUAUAUAUGUUCUGCAAGAAUAAUUUGUUAUGACAGAUGAUUUGAUACCACAUUCAUUUUCUGUCUUCCACCACCAGAAGAAAAAUCAAAGGGCGAACUUGAUUGCAAAUUAUACACAGUCAAAUCUCACCACAUUACAUAACACUAGUAUUACAGAAAAAAAACACAACCCUUGAUAAGAAGAUUUCACAAAUUUAAGCAUUUCCAUUCGAAAAGAAAAUGUAUACAUACUAUUAUUCAUCGGGCGUUUACAUUUGCGAGAAUAUAUUUACGUUUUCGGGGGAAAAAAUCCAUAUAUAGACGAACCUUCAAAAUCAUGUGAGAAUAAUUAGUUUUAUUAAUGUAAUAAUGCACUGAUUGUCGAAUCAGAAUGAAGGAAUUUUAAUUUAUAACUUGUUAUUUCCAGUCACUAAUAAUAUCAUCUUAUCUUAAAAAUUAAAGAAUCGUGUUUACGCAUUAAACAUAGGUAUAUAGCGUAACCACCACUUUUCUGUCUGUUGUUGUACGUACAUUUUGAUUACUACUCUUCCGUUGAAUAUAGUUCUAUAAAAGUUCAAAAUAUAGCAACUAUAAUGUAGUGUUCAAGUAGAAUAGCGUAGUAAAAAAAAAAAAAUUGUUUUGAGAAAUGAAAAUGCAUCUGGCUAUAUAUCCGCUCGGUAACGUUAUGCAAAAAAAUAUAUGUUGUCAUCAGUUCUUCUAAUUAUCGUUUAGUUAGAACCUAAGGUGUGUAAGAAAUGGAAGAUGAUAGUGAUAGAUAAAUCACAUGUAUCCGAAUCAAAAAUAUAAUUAAUACGUAGUUGGCAAAGAACUAAAAAAAACUAUUACAGAACGUAUACUAUGAUUUAAUAGUGUGAUUCACAAAGAUUUGGUGGUCGAUGUGCACAUAAAAAACUUAAAUGUAAAUUAUGUUUAUGCCACCGUGUAAGUUGUAACAUAUAACUAAACGUCUAAUUAAUCAGAGUAUAGGCCCACUCAGUGAGUAAUUGAUUUGUAUCAUUUUACUUUACUUUUAUUCAUUAUACUUCUAUGUUUUUACUGUUUUUCAUUUUACUUACUCAUUCCUUUAUUAAUAAGCGAUGUGAAACCAUAAUUUUCUAAGGAAUUACAUAAACGUAAAUAUAUAUUCUCUCCGUUUCAUAUUGUAAGUAGUUUUAGAAAAAAAAAUUAUUUUAAAAUGUAAGUACUUUUAAUAUUUCUAGAUAAUUUUUACAUUAUAACCAAUCAAAUUAAAUAAAUUUAUUUUUGAUUGGUUAAGUUAUAUCUAACCUAUUUAUUAUAUCAUAUUUUUAAAAAUAUAAUAUCUUUUUAAUCUUUGUGCUUUUAACCAAACAGCUUACAUUAUAAAAGAGUACAUUUUUUUAUCAAAUUUUUUUUUGAUCAAAUCAUAAAAAUAUAUGUUUAACCGUUUAAUGUUGUCUUAAAAGAUUGGAAUAUAAUUUAGGUGAUCCUCCUGAUCAUAAUUAUAUAAUUAAUAAUAUUAUGAGUAAAUUUCACAAUGGAAAGUAUUAACAAAAAUGUGAACCAAAUAAAAAUAGCAAGAAAGUGACGUAACAUCACAUUAUAACAUGUAACCAUCAAAGUUAGAAAGGAUAGAGAUCAAAAAUAAAAAAGGACGAACAAAAGAAAAAGGAAUCCGUAAAAACGGCCGUCAACGGAAGCAGACUCAGGGCCUACGGGUUAGAUCUUAGUAAAUAGGACACGUGUAUGAAUCACAUGGAUAGUAGGGACCACAAAUUCGAACGGCGUACAUUUACUGAAAGCAAUACCCUUCGAUGGAUUAUGGGUCCACUACACGUGGAGCCAUCACGUGCUGUCAGUUCGUGUUUCCCGAAGGGUACGAAUAUUUAUUUAAUAAAUUCUAUUUUUAACAUCUGAUAUUGAAGCAGGCCGUUAAUGACGGCGUUAAGCAAUGACUUAGACACUGACGGACGUGGCCGUUAUGCUUAAAACCGGGUUUCCUCGUCGCUCAAUGUGUAGUUAAAAUUGUCAAUUGCUCGAGCGAUAAUAGUGAAAAUUUACUUUAUUUAAUUACCACGGAAAUAAUUUGCAUUACUAGCAAAACGUGAUUUAAAGGCGGUUCAAAUUAGUAAUGGUUCAAACUACCAUUGUUUUUAACCCGGGAAUACCCGAGUCAUAUGGAACUAAUUGCAAGUAGUUAUAAAAUUAGAGGCUCCCUAUUUAUAUUAUUGAACCUUUAGACAAAAUGUUAUGGAUUACAUAUGUUUAUGUGUAUUUAUAUAUUAUACAGUUUUUUGUUAUCUUCCUAAGUUCACAAUGCUAGUUAUAUUAUGUUUAGUCUUUGACAGUAAAAGUAGAUUAGCAUGUUCACUAAACUAAAAUAGGUCUAACUAGACCUUUUCAUGUUCGAUAAAGAAAAAAGAUCCAAGAUGAUGAUUUUAUUCAAAACCUAAUUAGUUUUGUCGAAUCUUUAACGGGAGGAUCCGUGAGUGAUCGCUAUUUUAUUUGUACACAUCUCGAAAAUUAGAGAAUAUAUAUAGGCCUAAUUCUUAAAUAACUAAAACGACUCGAAAAUUAAAACGCAUGGGUCCGAUGAUUUUUCAAAACCCAAUUGCAGAAUAUUUCCAUCGAUUCAUUAAGUUAGAUAAUCUUUUAAAAAUAUGUUCAUAGACUUUUUUAUUUUCUAUGAAAAUACUGUGAUCUUAAAAAAAUCAAUUGACUUUAUUGAAUUACCAUAUGUUAAAAAUUAUUAAAAACUAAAAAUUACAGAAAAUAAUAUAUUUAUUAUAGUGAUUUAACGUGUUUUUUUUAAUAUGUGUGAAAACACUAAAAAUUACUUCCUUCGUUUUUCAAUAUAAGUCGUUUUAGAAAAACUUUUUUGUUUCAAAUUAUAUGUCAUUUUUAGCUUUCUAUGUAACAUUUAUUAAUAAUUAAUGUUGUCUGACCAAUGAUAAUAUAUCUUUUAUUUUUCUAUUGGUUGAAUUGUGGUUAGGUAAAUAAUUAGUGAUGUUUUUGUUUUGAAAAUCUAAAAAUUAAUAAUUUUUUUAAUCUAUGUGCAUAGCUUUUAAAACGACUUAUAUUAAAAAACGGAGGGAGUAUUGUAAUAUGGUUUAUACUGAAUUUAUAUAUAUUGGAUAUAUACAUUAUAAUUUAUUGAAUUUAUACAUAUUGUGGGAAUUACUGUUGUUGUAACCAAAAACUACUUUUAUUUUUCUGAUUGUACGCAUUUUUAGAUUGAUGUUUUCGAUGGCCUGUGUUAAUAAAUUUGCUGGAAAGUUAAUAAGGAAAUCAGACUGUGAAAUUAUUUUACUUAACUCAAACCCCGAGACAUGGUUGGUUGAAUUAUUAUACAAUUGAACCUGGGACCUAAAACAGUAUCAUGAACUGAGUUCAGCUUUUAAGUCAAUUUUAAUUAUACACUGGAAAAGCAUCUUCAGUUCUCCAUCAAAAGAAUCAACCAAAAAAGACCCCAAAAUCUGUAGUAUUUUAAAGAUUUGACAAAAGGUUAAUGAUUCUCAUUCUUCUUGGUACAAUUUUUCAACAUUUAAACAAAGUAUUACAAAACCCAAAAUAUAAUAAAAAUGUCGGUUUAAGAUAACAUUGUAGUAGAUCCACGACUUUUUACUAAUCGGUCAAAAUAUUAUGACAUACGAGCUACCACUGACAGCAACAAUGAAAGUAAACAAUCUCUUCAAAAUUUAAUUCAUUUUAAUUGUAACACCGUUUGUGUUUAUUUUACCUUAACUAUGUUGCAGUUAUUGUACAACUAUAAAAUGAUUUAAUAUUGUAUAUAUUCUCAGCCUUAUCGCUUUCGAGGUGUAGCUGUUAGCCCUCCUCUGGUACAUGAUUCAUUGGUCGUCGAGCCCCAUCACCACCAUUCUUUUUUAGUAUAAAUUAAUUUUCAUUUUCUCUGGUAAAUAAAAUUCAUCAUUUAUUUUUAGUAUUCGUAUAAUCAUCAUUGAAGUUGUAGCAGAAGUGAAAAACAAAGCAAUCCCCGAUUGCUUAAGAUUCCUCACCUAGUCACAUGCUCCUCUUCUUCCUCACCCAAAAAAGAAAGCAAACCCUAGAUCCAAGAUCAGAGCCCAAACUCAGACCAAACUCACCUAGUCACAUGCUCCUCUUCUUCCUCACCCAAAAAAGAAAGCAACCCCUAGAUCCAAGAUCAGAGCCCAAAAUCAGACCAAACCAGAGUUAAACUAUCGAACUAAAUCAGAGACAUGAAGAGAGAUCUCCAUCAGUUUCAAGGUCCUCC